rnacentral:lncRNA from 1 species
GCCCAAUAAAGCUCCUGUCAAUCUGUCAUUAGCUUUGCCUGCAUCUCUGAAGCUAAUUUCAGACCUGCGUGCAUGAUAGCUUCAAUAAAUAGCCUGAAAUUAUUUUUUUGUUCCUAAGAGAAGCGUCUGAGUUGCCAUCUUCUGUCUGGGCUUCUGGCCCUAUCCACCAGAAAAACUUCUAGAAUCGGUCGGCCCUCAUUAACUCUGCCAUUUAGUAUAAUGUUUAAAGGAGAUAUAAAAUGUGAGUAGUACACCCAAUUGAUCAGAGAUUCAUAAAUGAAGUUUGACAUUUGAGUACAACUAGUCCAUGCUCUGGUAAAAUGAAAUGUUUGACGUUUGAGUAUAGUGGAGCCGGAGUUCUUCAUGAUCCACAGUGUACUCCAUCUAGAUUAACAUCUAUGCACGAAGAAAAGGAGAGACCAUCAAGAGCAAAGCUUUCAUCACCAGGAGUUAAAAUAAAUAUAUGUAAUUGAGCAGCUCAAUAUUUCAUUGCCGAAAAUUGAGCAGCUUGAUAGUAUGAACAUCAUAGUACAGGCCAUCUAUCUUUCCCCACUCUUCCUAUUUCUGAUGUAAGCUGUGCGGCAUCUGAAACAGCCACCAGUUGGCCUUUCAAUCAUGCAAAAAAAAGAAGAAGAAAAAAACGGAUCGAAGCAUCAGCCAAGAUGGCCAACGACAAGAACGAAAAAACAGACAGCGAAAAGACAUUCAUAUGACCCGAGCUGAGUGAGUAGUGUGUACCUAACCAGAUAAACUGAUCUGUCAAAAUGUGGGUUGCGUCCAGUCGGUUGGGCCUGAAUUGUCACCAGCCCAUAAUAACUUCGCCACAAUCAAUAGCCU